GAAACCGACUUGGGUAGCGACGCCGAAGACGAUUCGCAAGGAACGAGUGCUGAGUCUUCAAUUGAAUCUGGCUCAAAUAGACUUCAAGAUAAGUACUGGUGUACAUGCGGUCAUUGUCAAAUAAUGGACAGACAUGAAGAAUGUAUAUGUUGCAAAGAGAUUGCUGCUUGCAGGGAUAUUAAUGAAGAGUCAGCUGAAUUCGAGGGUAUUGAUGUUCCAGAAUGUAUCACUGACAACCCUGUAUUCCAAAAUUUAUGUUUAAAUUACUGGGUAUUGAGAUUGGCGUGGAGUCAAUACAAGCAGCAGUAUGGGAAAAGUGCUUUUGAAGGACCAGAGCAUAAGAGGCAAAGGCAUGUUGCUUACAGACAAUUUGUAAGAUGGUGUUGGGGAAUUUUGGGAAAAGAAAUAAGGAAUCCUUUGCCAUCUUGUGCUGUUUGUUGUAUUCGGGCACAUUUCCCUCCACCUGGUCUAGAAGAAGAUUUUGUAUUUAAAGGUUUUGAAUUUGCUGAUGAGUGAUGCAGUGUUUGAAUUAUGAUCGAUCACAGCCAAUUGGGUUCUUGCAACCAUGCCAUUGUAUGAAAAAUGAAGGCGUUUUGGAACAUAUUUCAAUAGUAAUGAAUAGUACACUUCCAGGUUGCCAGUGUGAUGGAAUUCUAAUAUCAGCGUUUCCUUCACAUGUUUGCGCACACCACCACAGAUGGUUCGACACUGACUGAAUCCACUUUUGAAGGGAAGCAUGUUUUUUUGCUUUUUUGCUCUGAUGUUAUUUGGAUGUGGCGAUCUGUGGUCAAUGAUCUAAUUUGGAGUUUUUCACCCAUGACAUUAUUUAAAGAUCUCUGGCAACCUUCAUUCUCCAUUGCAUUGGAAGAAGACACUUCAGAUACCUGUAUCAAAGAAAAAUCAACAAUUUUCCCACUGUUUUCUUCCAUCAGCGUGUAUGUGCCAUACUUUGCAUUGUGACCUGGACUAUCACAUCUUCCAUCACCACAUAAAUCUAUUGUCAUGGUCAUGGACAAUGUGAGUGAAGAGUCUUCAGCAUCACUGGGUUGUUCAAGCAUACUGGCUAAUUCCUGCACAUUGUGGAAUUUAGAUUCAUUUAAUUAAAAAAUGUUUCAAGUGUAAUGUUCAAAAGAAAAUUUUAAUAUAAUGAUCUCACUUAUAUAUAUCAAUACAUACUUAUUCAUGCUCAAGAUAAAUAAUAUCAAAAAUUAUUCUGUAAAAAUAACAUUAAUGGGCUACCUCUUGCAUCGCUUUUCUUUUCUGCCUCUUACUUGAGGAUUCCCGCUCUGGUUUACGCUUUAGAAAGGGGAAUAUUGAAGGGACACUACCGGGUUUUAAUGCUUUUUUUGCUUUCAUUCCAAAUAAAUCUUUCAGGGAACCUUCAAAACAAUCUGGCGUGAAAUGCGCGCUGCACACAUAGCAUGAAUUAGGUUUAGGCAAAUUAUCACGUCGAAUUCGCCCUAGCCACAUUUUACGAAUAUAUUGAUCAUUUGGCAAGCGAUGGUAAGAUAUUUCACUUCCUUUGGUUUUUUUUGAACAAUUAGUGCAACCGGGUACCAUACAGUAAGGCAUAUUUAUAAAGAAAGGAAAAUAAAUAUCGAGAAAGAAA